GUUCCUCCUCCUUCAAUUCUCGUAGCUUUUGUAUAGCACAAUUAUUCCCUAUCACUAAACAAGCUUCACAAUACUUUGGUUUCCAUUCAAAAAUCACUAUUUGCUGAAAUGUCUUCCCUGAGGGAUCCAUCGUAAUUAUUUUAGAUGGCAGAGGUUUGGUGGCAUUAACUUCUAUAAGCAUUCCAGCAAAAGAGAUUCUAGUUUGCUUUGUCGUGCACUCAUCUGCAUAUUUAGGUACACGAAUAGCACUCGCUAUCCUUCUCAGUAAGUCCGACUGCAGCAGCUCAUGGGCAGGCUUGGGAGAUCGAUUGCGAGUGAAUAGUCCAGGCCAAGUGGGUCUUUCAUUGCCGAUGCAGAAUUCCUCAGUGCUGAUACCUUGGUCUUUGGAACAUUUAUGCUUGUGGCCCUUCAAUUCCUGUCAGUUAUGCCUUUGGAUCUCCACUGAGGUUUAAUUUCUUAAUCCCAAUGGUCAAUUUAGCUACCGACACCAAGGGUGAAAGUGACGGGGAUUGUGUCGCUGCUGGUGUUACAAUUCUCUGUUCAUUCCUAGCACUGACUGAGCUUCCCACUGUUACGAUUGCUUGUAUUUUCGAUCGACCUCGCCCUCUGGCCAUGGAUACCACCAUCAGCGUAGGUUAGCUUAACGUGCACCGAGAGACAUAUGCUAGAGAGAGGAUUGACAGUGUUCGUGUCCUGAAUUCCUAUUCAAAAAUAAGCAUAAAUUCAGGAACUUGGGCCAAAGCCUACACUCUUCUGGUGGGCUUUUGUAAAGGUGUUUACCUAGUAUUGCAUAUGUUUCCAUUUUACUCAAUGCUUCUUGUUUACACACCCUUUCGUGGAA